CAGCCGCCGCGGUAAAACGGAGGGGGCUAGCGUUGUUCGGAAUUACUGGGCGUAAAGCGCACGUAGGCGGCUUUGUAAGUUAGAGGUGAAAGCCCGGAGCUCAACUCCGGAAUUGCCUUUAAGACUGCAGAGCUAGCAGGUGAGAGAGGUGAGUGGAAUUCCGAGUGUAGAGGUGAAAUUCGUAGAUAUUCGGAAGAACACCAGUGGCGAAGGCGGCUCACUGGCUCAUACUGGACGCUGAGGUGCGAAAGCGUGGGGAGCAAACAGGAUUAGAUACCCCGGUAGUCCCUGUCUCUUAUAC
rnacentral:rRNA from 1 species